AACGAUAUAUUUGACUCUUCCUUCACGUCAUUCAUCAAGGUAGGACCCACAAAACCGCAACCUCACCGACGGAGAAAAUGAAGGAAGACCGACCGACCGACCGCCGAACGGACGGACGACCGGUUUUCUUUUUUUUUAAUUAACCAACCGGAGUCGUUGGGAGGCGCGGUGUACGUGAAUAGGCCCGGUUUUUUUUUAUUAUAUAAUCGGUUCAUUUAAACCGACGGCGUGAUUGACGGAGAAGCACAUGAAAAAUCGUGAGACAUUUUUUUACUAUGUAUUUACUUUAUUACCCCCGUUGACUCUUUGACCAUAUUUAAAAACAAAAAAAUGAUUAAUUAUAUUUGACUUUUUUAAUCUACCUAAUAGAAAACGCGUUAAGACUUGGAAUUUUUUAUAAACAUGUCAUUAGUUACCUUAUUAAUACAGAUUUUUUUUCGAUUUUCUUAUCCUAAUCUGGCGGUUCUUGUGGUGUUCUUCUCCUACCUUCUAUGUCAUCUCUUCAACGCAAGAUCUGUCGAAAACGAUUAUAUAAAUCUCAUCUUAUCACGAAAUUAAUACAAUUUGUAAUUUAUUUUCAAGUGCGUCGUACAGUACGAAUGUUAUAUUUGUCAAGUUGAUCAUGUUCAUUAGAUCGAUUUUGCGUUGUACAUAUGUCUUAGUGUCUUAUACAGUAUAUUAUUUUACGUCGUACAUGUGUCAAUGUCUUUGUAUUACAUUAUUUUACUCAUUCAAGAUUCGACACACCUGAGUAUUUUCUCAUAUGUAUACCCAAACUGACGGUUUGAACCCUG
rnacentral:lncRNA from 1 species